GAUGAACGCUAGCGGCAGGCCUAAUACAUGCAAGACGAACGGUAAGUUGAGUAGCAAUACUUAGCCAAGAGUGUCGUACGGGUGCGUAACACGUAUGCAACCUACCCUAUACAGGAGGAUAGCCUAGGGAAACCUGGAUUAACCCUUCAUAGUAUUAUUGGAUGGCAUCAUUUGAUAAUUAAAACUGAGGUGGUAUAGGAUGGGCAUGCGUCUGAUUAGUUAGUUGGCGGGGUAAUGGCCCACCAAGACGAUGAUCAGUAGGGGUUCUGAGAGGAAGAUCCCCCACACUGGCACUGAGAUACGGGCCAGACUCCUACGGGAGGCAGCAGUAGGGAAUAUUGGGUCAAUGGAUGCAAGUCUGAACCAGCCAUGCCGCGUGCAGGAAGAAGGCCUUCUGGGUUGUAAACUGCUUUUGCCAGGGGAUAAAUUUCCAUGCGUGGAAAACUGAAGGUACCUGGUGAAUAAGCCACGGCUAACUACGUGCCAGCAG
rnacentral:rRNA from 1 species